ensembl:lncRNA
GCCGCGGGCUUGCUCGCCGGUCAGGUCAGGUGAGCGAGACUUCCGGCUCCUGAUGCCCGGAGGAAGGGGCCUGGAGCCUGCGGCGAGCCGCCCGCCCCCCGGAAACGGAAACGACCCCAGGAGCAGCGGGACUCCGGCGGGCGGACCACGCAGCCGUCGGGCUUCCCGGCUUCGUGAGCGCCUUCACUCUGGAUAAAAAGGUAAGAAGAUUUAUUCAGAUUCAGAGAGAAGCACUCUCCACAGAGUGUGGGCCAUCGCAGAGGAUUCAGAGGUCCUCGAGGGGAAGAGUCCUGGUGUACAGCAGGUGUUCAACGUACGCUCACGAGAUGGAUGAGUGAAAACAUACUCACGUUCAUCCCACAGCUGUAUUCAGUCUCUCACCACUCCACACCACUGUGUGCUAUGGAAGACUCGUGAUUUCAACUUCAUAAAAAUGAUUUUAUUAGUUUUGAAAAUAGUAAAAUAAAAAUAUUUUAUACCCAACACAAAAGUUAAAACAAUGCUUCAAAUCAGGAAAAAGAAAGCGAGGGGGCUUCCCUGGUGGUCCAGUGGCCGAGACUCCAAGCUCCCAGAGCACAGGGCCCGGGUUCGAUCCCUGAUCAAGGAACGAGACCCCACGUGCUGCAACUAAAGAUCUGGCGCGUCACAACUAAGGCCCGGCACAGCCAAAUAAAUAUUUUUUUAAAAGGAAAAGAAAAAAGUAAUUGGGAAUUAUGUGAAAUACUCUUUGCUGAACAUUCUUCCAGUUCUCCGUGUGUUGAACUGGUAGAAUAUGGCAUCCUAGGUAUGACUCUUGGGCGUAAAGAUUAUUU